AUGACCAUGCAUCUGGUGCCUCAGAAGAGGUCCCUGGAGCACAGCCCUGCCCAGCAGGGGAAAUUCCUGUGCUCACACACAUCUCUGCAGGACGUGCUGCUACAUACAAGGUGCCACCCCUGGUUUUCACAAUGCCUCCAGCAGUUUUUAGAUCAAACAUGCUCUGCACAGACAUGCAGUGGGAUGAGGGGUAGGGCUCCCAUCACUGUCACAUCACAAACACAAGCUCACAGAACGCCACAAACACAACUGGCUCAGCCCAAGCACCCUCUGCUCCAGCUGCUCCUCUCCCAUCCUCAACACCUGCACUCCUGUCUGCAACACUCUGAUGAAGCUUCUUGCCAGCCCACAAGCUCUAAAGGAUGCUCUGAUGAAGAAUGUAGAUAUUCUAUCAUCACUCCCAGAAGUCCAAAUUUACAUGCUUUACAAAGAGAGAAUCACCUGCAGAAUUAUCAGGAGAGAAAUUCUUGGGAGAGAGCUUUCUCCAACACCUGAGACUCUACUACUGCCCAGCCCCUGUGAGAUCUUAUUUCUACUGCUGUCACAACUGCCCUGGAUUAGUUCUACAAGAAGCAUCCCUUUAAUUUUUCACUCCUUGCUUGCCCAAAGAAGACUUUAAUUAAUGCAGAUGCCCACAGUAACCCAACACCUUAAAUCCAUGUUUUUGCCAUGCUGAUAUCACCUGGAAGCACUGCCCUGCUGCAAAGCCCUUGAAGAUUCAACUCCAGUGGGGGUCUUUAGUGAUGACCAACAGCUUCUGUAUUUUAUUUGCACCAAAGCACAUGUAUUAUAUAUAAAAGUUUUCCCUUCCACUCAGUGAAU
rnacentral:lncRNA from 1 species